CGAGAGAGAUAUAGGGGUAAUGUGGACUGCAUUGAUUAUUUCUGUGGUCAGAUUUUUUUUCUUCAUGUGCGAAUAAUCUCCUUUCUUUGACGCUGCUGUAUUCCGGAUGAGACCAAGAAAUUCUAGCUUACUUGGUGGAUCAGCGUUUCUCUCUCUUAAAUUAAAGGAGCUACAUUAAAACUAAGAAACAAUUAAGGGAAAGAUGAUGCUUACUCGGCAGUCUUUGCUGCCUUUGAGCUACCUCCACCCUGCUGAAGACCAGGCCUAGGAUGUAUAAAAAAUAGUUUAUGCAAUACCAGUUAACGGACUAAAUAUCCGAACAAAUCACAAAGGAAAAAUAUGUAAUCUGAAAAGGACUACAGCGCUUGGAGUCUCUGGAUACAGAAUAUAGUUUCAUGCUGGAUAAUUGACAAGAACGAAAAGCUCCGGGAAAGAUGCAAAUUAAAAGCCACAGUCACUUGUAAGAGUUAAGAAACCAAGACUAUAUGGUGAUGCGGCCCAGGAAUGCAAAAGAAGAACCAAGAUAUGGUUUGUUGGCUCCACACUUCAUCAUCAUCCAAGUAUUUGGGACCAGAAAAAUUGGGAGCUGCAUGCUCAAAAGAAGCGGAAAAAAGACAAACGCCAGGAUAGCAUUAACACAACCAAAA